GGUGAGUACGGUGGGCGGGUGGCGGUGGCCAUGGGUGCUCUACUGAAAUUUCUUUUCUCUUUUCCCCUUGAUUGCACAGGUAGCGCAAAGGGGUCAUGCCCUUUCACUUUGCCAUGGCGGGACACUAGGCGAGCGGAGGGAGAUAUCCUGUUUCCGUGGCUGGUGGCCGGCCUCUAUGCGCAUGGCCCAUGGGGAAUUGGGGAGCGACCCCAUUGCCGCUGCAUCACACUGUCGACCAUGGGCACAUGGAGCACGAGCGCGGAGACGAGUCCGGCGACCGCCGGCAGUGGACGAGUUCGUCGACUCCGACGCGAGAACUCCACGGCUUCCAUUCAACUAUUCUUUUCUUCGAUUUUCCUCCUUUGUCUUAUAUAUGUGUUCAUCUCUCAUUAAUUUUUCCGGUUAUGUUUAGUUAUGCAAUCACCCACCACAUUGCAACGUUGGCGACCAGGUGCGCGGUGGCAUACUUUCUUGGUUUGGAUGGUUGACCUGCCGAGCUUCCCAUGGGGAGAGAUGCCACUGCUUCAGAUCGUAGCCUCCACGCCCAGGAGCCUCCGCUAAUGAGCUCUUAUGUCACUAUGUCAGUGGUUUUCAGAAAGAUGCUAAAACAAGAGAGUUUCAGGGGUUGGCAUUUGAGUUCAAUCUCUGCGAAGCUUUGCCCUCAAGGGAGCAGAUAUGAGAUUAACUCAUUCAAGGAUGAAGUACCAGAGUACAUUACAAAGCAUGGACUUCGCAUCUGUCGGGGGUCAUGGCAUGUUGUUGUGGCUGGGAGGAGCAGUGUUGAAUGGCGGCGGUGGCGGCGCUGGGGAAUGGGCGUGAUUGUGUGGACCACGAGCGGGCACAAUGAGCUGCUGCUCUGCGGUUCCUCCACCUUCUGCUGAAUUAUUUGUUCUUACAAAGGAAGGUAAACUUGACGAAAAAUUAUGUUUUGGAUCUAACACUCCUCUGUUCCAAUUUUUCUUUGCCCUGCUCUAUUUUUUCUUCCCUUUCGAUCUCGAUUCUCUUCCCUAUACCAGUUAAUUCUGAAUUGGUGACAAGUAUUGACCAUUGCUAUUCGGUGAAGGUAAUUUUACUACCAAAUUAAUGGCACUGUAUAGUUUCGAAAGUGGUUCAAAUUCAGGACAGAAAAGAACUAAACUUGUUCCUGUCCAGAGAAAAGAAUGAUUUAAACAAAUAGAAUGGUAGUACAAGCAAGCACAGAUUAAGAGAAUGUUUUUUGAGCAUUGUUUUAUUUUCGUGAUGAGUAAUUCAAUUCCAUAUACUGCAGUCCACGAGACAAAAUUCAGUUCACCCAGUUAAACAAUACGUAUAUCCUUGAAUGAUGUUCCCUGAUUUAUUUAAAAAAAAAUCCUUGAUGAGCUACCAGCUACACUGGUAAUGGUGUUUCAGAGAAUUGGUCCAGUUACUCACUAGAGUGUGAAAUGUAGUAGAACUACUCCAGAAAAGGUACUCUGAUUUCUUUGGAAACCUGUAUUGAUUGGAGCAUAUGCAUGUCAAAACUUAACCAGAAUUGUACCCCCUACUACGUGGAAUAUUUAAUCACCCUUGAUAUGUAUUGGUAUGUUUACAAAAAAAAGGAAACGCUCUCUGAAAAAGAAUGCACAAUGAUUUGGCAUAUUAUACUUCAUGUGCCUUUGUUCUGCUAUAGUACACUAGGACCAUGGAAACAUGAGCUUCAGUUUUUGCAUGAUUCAUAUUUUUACAGGUACAUAUGUGUGCUACUUCUCAAGAGAGGCAAGCAUCAGCUGUGUGUUUGCUUAAGGAGAAGACAACCCAACAGCUUCUUCGUAUCGAUUAUUUUGAUCAAUAGGUCAUAUUGUCAGUAUUACUGUAUUUUAUUCAAUCUUUAGUAGUUUAAUUACUUGCACAACAAUAUUACCUAACUGAAUGUUCCUCCCAUUUAGAUUUUUUCCUCUGCAGUAGUAAGAAAUUCAGUGGUUCAGCUGACUUACCAGGGGAAUUACUACUGAAUUUCUUCACCAACAUUUUAGAGUGUGUUUGACUGGUGUAAUGGUGUUCUCGAUGAACAUUUUCAGAGUGAGCUUACUACAAUAUCAGAUUGACUACUUCAAGUACAUUUAAACUCGCUUUCCACAGUUGUGUGCUCUAUGUCAAGUCAAUGGAAUCAUAGGCGAGGGGAUCAGAAUGUGUCAAUGAAGAACGGAAAAAUAUUUGAUCGUAUAUUCAGGUUAGGUGCCAUGUUCAUCUGUACUUUCUACCUAUUCCAUUGUCUUUAAUUGCUUCGACCACUUCAGUUUUCCUAAAAUUGAUGGCAUCACAAGUUUCAGUUAAGCACACAGAAUUCUUAUGCGGUACAGGUUAAGUUCCACGUUCUUCUCUACUUUCUAGCUAUUCCAUUGUCUUUAAUUGCUUUGAGAAGUCUAGAUUUCCUAGAAUUGAUGGCAUCACAGAGUUAGAAUUGAUGGUUGUGCUAAGUUAAGACCACAGUUUAUUCAUUUCUUUAAUUUUCCUAGAAGAAAAACUGGGACGGGACACUGGGACUGGGACGGGACUGGGACGGGAGCAACCAACAAUUUUCUGUACUCAAAGAUGUCAGCUCUGCAACUGAAAAGAAGAUAAGGAAGGCCAAAGCAUGGCUACUGCACCAGCCAAGAAACCACUCCUCGGUAAGCAGCAGGUUUAGACACAAAUUAAACACAUACAAUGAACUGACUUUUACCUUAUUUCUUCUCGCACCAAAACAAAGAUUUCACUUAGAAGAACGGCUCAGAUCAGCCUAAGAACCGAUGAAGCAAAGAUUUAAUACACUACUACCAAUCAGUUAUGUAUAGUAUUAUGGACCUACCAACUAUCCUAGACGAUAAGUAAUUUUGAUGUAUUGUAAUAUUAAGUAUUCAUCACCCAGCUAUGUAUAAUUGUCCUAAUCGUAUUCUCAUGUUUCUGCAAUAGUAGUAUUCUACUAUUUGGUACAGUUGAUCGCUCUAGAUACUAUGUAUAAUACUCUGUUCGGUACUGAAUCUGUUGUCGGUAUAUAUUUGUCUUGCCAAGGAAAACUAAUAAUGCCUCUUUGCUCAAA